rnacentral:lncRNA from 1 species
UUGAUUUACGUCUAAAAAUCGUAGCCUACAAAAGAAAGCUAUUGUUAGUCUAAGUAUUUUCAACAACAAAUAAAAAAAUAUGUGUAAUAAAAAAGAAACUUACCAUUUGCUUCGCAUGCGAAACAAACAGAAUGAUUCCACUAAUAUACAUGGUAAAUGAACCAUGAGUCCUUUUGUUCUGGUUCUCUGCAUCGGACCGCGACCACUGCACAAAAUGCGUUGACAUCAUAUAUUGAAUAUAAAGUUUCAAGAUAGCCUCUAAGACAUGUAGAGGUCUGAAAUCCCUC